UACGGGGGGGGCAAGCGUUGUUCGGAAUUACUGGGCGUAAAGGGCUCGUAGGUGGCCAACUAAGUCGGACGUGAAAUCCCUCAGCUUAACUGGGGAACUGCGUCCGAUACUGGAUGGCUUGAGUUUGGGAGAGGUGAGUGGAACUGCGAGUGUAGAGGUGAAAUUCGUAGAUAUUCGCAAGAACACCAGUGGCGAAGGCGGCUCACUGGCCCGAUACUGACGCUGAGGCACGAAAGCGUGGGGAGCAAACAGG
rnacentral:rRNA from 1 species